UACGUAGGGGGCGAGCGUUAUCCGGAUUUACUGGGCGUAAAGCGCGUUAAGGCGGUUGGCAAAGUUGGUUGUGAAAUUUCAGGGCUCAACCCUGAAACUGCGUCCAAUACUGGUCGACUAGAGUGCGAGAGAGGAAGGUGGAAUUCCCGGUGUAGUAGUGAAAUGCGUAGAUAUCGGGAGGAACACCGGUGGCGAAGGCGGCAUCCUGGACCAACACUGACGCUGAGUGAGCGAAAGCCAGGGGAGCAAACGGG
rnacentral:rRNA from 1 species